GACAGAGGUGCCGAGCGUUAGGCGGAAUCACUGGGCUUAAAGCGUGUGUAGGCGGAUCUGUAAGUACCUUGUGAAAUCCCAUGGCUCAACCAUGGAACUGCUUGGUAUACUGCGGAUCUUGAGCCACCUAGGGGCAAGUGGAACAAACGGUGGAGCGGUGAAAUGCGUAGAUAUCGUUUGGAACGCCAAUGGUGAAAACAACUUGCUGGGGGUGUGCUGACGCUGAGACACGAAAGCCAGGUGAGCAAACGGG
rnacentral:rRNA from 1 species